UCAGCUUGCGAGGUCAUGGAGCAGACCAGAAAGCGUCCUCAUCAAAGGUUGUUCAUGCAUAGAAGAUUGAGCCACUUUCCGCUGCUGAGCUUAAUAAAUUUAUAGUCACGGCUGAUUCUCAGAUAAUUGAGUUUCUCUGCACGGCUAGAGUGACUGGUAUCCUGAUGACGGUUGGUGUUAUAUUGGCUGCUCCGGGUCUUCCAUAUCUUUAUUUGAAGUUAAUCUUUGUUAUAACUGAGCGAGAUCUUGCACCGAUGCCAGCCUUUGUUAACUGAAGGUGCAAAGAUCCCUGAAUAAGCGCUGCCUGAAGUUAUUGCACUAGGAAUAGAUGCCAAAGUUGGCAAGACUUGCAAUGAUGCUUCUACAGCAAAGCGUGCACCAUCGAGCAAAGAACAAGUCGCUGAGAAAUCCCGUGUGGAAUGAGUCCACUACAAAACUUAAGCAACCACAGCUUCUUUUUUUUUUCAAAUUAUGCUUUACUAUCUUUCCUUUUCAUUUAAAACUAUUUCUCUUUUGUUUUUAAAUGUUUAACUAGAUUUUGAAUUUUUGUUUUUUUUUUCAAUUGACAAAUAUUUAGUAAAUGUCACAUUUUCAUAUAUUUGUGUUUUAUUUUAUAAAAGACUUAAAAAUUUUAUCUUUA